GCCCCUGCUCUCCUCCACCCCUCCCAUGGCCGCCCCCAGUUCCUGGGCCUCCCCGUUCCACGAGACCACCGCCUAGCACCGCCAUCCGCUCCGCCGUCCUUCCCAGUUCCCGGCCGCCCUCUCCGUCCUCUCCGUCCGUCCGUCCCGGCCAUCAAUCUUCGUCGAGCAGAGAGAGAGAGGAAGGAGGCCAGAUUCGAGCGAGAUCCAUGGGGAAGUACGUGGAGCUACUGGACAG
rnacentral:lncRNA from 1 species